rnacentral:rRNA from 1 species
AUGCCGAGGUUGCGUCGCGUGCGGCCGCGCAGGGCCAGCGAAGAGGACCGCCUCAGCGCGCUUCCCGACGGGCUGAUCCGCCGCAUACUGACCAAGCUGGACACCCGCAGCGCGCUCUCCACGGCCGUCCUCGCCAGGCGCUGGGCACGCGUCCCCCGCGACCUUCCGGCGUACGACUUCAUGGUCAGCGACGUACUCCCGCCGCAGUACGACCGGACCGUCGCCCUCCGCCGUCGCAACCUGCCGCGCGACGUGGCCUUGGCCAGGGUCCUCGACGGCCUCAUGGCCAGCUGCGAGGUCUCCACCAUGCGGGCGUUCGUCGACGGCAUCACCGGUUUCUUGGACGCGGACGGCGGCAAAGCACGCCGGUGCGUCGACACCCUUCGUCUCGAGUUCUUCCAGACCAACGACGGCGGAGGCGUAGUAGACCGCCUCAUCGCCGACGCGGUAGGCGCGUGGGGAGUGGAAGAUCUGGAGGUGGUCGUCAGGCCAGCGUCCCAUGCGCCCGCGCCGGCCUACAGCUUCCCCCACGGCCGCCUCAAGGACGGCGGCAGGUCGCGCCUCCGCAGCCUGACGCUGGGCAACUGCACGAUCCCGCCGAAGCUGGACUGCUAUGACGCGCUCACCACGCUGGUCCUGCGAGACAUGCCCGCUUCCACCCCCGUCGGCGUGUACGAGAGGGUGUUGAGCGAUUGCGCGCGGCUGCAGGUGCUGCACCUCACGUCCUGCCUCUGCGCCGACGACCGUCUGGUGGUGUGCUCAGGCAUCAGGGAGCUCGUUGUGGACGCUUGCUCCUUCAUGGUGAUCGAGCUGCGGGACCUCCCGAUGCUUGCCCGCCUGGCCUGCCUAACCAACACCGUGGAGCUCGUGUUCGGCUCGGUUCCGUGCCUCACGCACACUAACCUCUCCUUCUCCGUAGAGGAGGAUACGUUGGUUCUGCCGCCCCGGCCGCACCACCACGAUGAGCUCAACCAUUUCCUGGGUACGUCGCCAACCAUGGCGAACCUCGUCAUCCGGUUCACCGGCUCCAAGAGAUGGAUUGGAUCCGAGGAACUAGACAAGCCUUUGCUCCACCUGAAAAGGCUCCUUAUUGCCGACCUGCCUUCCAACUGGGACGUCUCAUGGACGCACACCUUCCUGGUGGAGGCGCCAUCGCUCGAGGUCCUGCACAUCCAUGUGGCUCACUCGGAGGAGGUUCCAGAGUCGUUCGGGAUAAUAUGGUCGACGGCGAGCCCUACACAAUGCCACCCUCACAUGAAGGAGCUGGUCUUCAUCGGAUUUACGCUCACCCGACGCCAAAUGCAGCUUCUUAAGUACCUCGUGAGCACUUGCACGUCCUUGCAACGCCUUGUUCUUCUCAAGGAUGGUCAUGUUCGAUACGACGGACUCUGGGAUUGGGACAUGGUCGGGGGACAACAAGAAUGCCAGUGGACAGAUCAUGAUAAAAGGGCCUUGAGAAGGAUGAUCAAGUCUGGGCCCAGGCCUCUCGUUCAACUCAUCUUGGCGUGA